rnacentral:lncRNA from 1 species
CCAGACCGCGUCAGGUUCCAACCGGCGCUGGCGCCCGCGCCCGCGCCCGGACGCGGCAAGCAGCCUCCGGGCCUCCCGGGCUCCGGUUCUUGCCCCGGCCCCGCCCCGGAAGACGAGGCGGAAGUGGGCGGAGACGUUCGUCCCGCGUGAAACAUGCCGAGUAUAGGAGCCUGUGCCAUACCCGGCAGCCGGGAAUGAGAAGGCAGGACCAGCUGACCAGACAAGCCUCUCUCCUUGAUGUUCUGUCUGCUGCUCUUGGACUGGCUGCUGCUCAGCAUUCUCAUCUUGAAGACAAGAAAUAAAAACAGUUCCUGGAUCCUGGGGAGGGGGUGAUGGACAGAGUUAAUGAAUUAAAGUACUUGAAAAUGCUGUUUGUAAUAUGUUACUCUAAUUUCUUUUCUUAAAUUGAUAAGUAAAAAUGGCAUAUAUUUAUGAUGACACCAUAAUGUUUUUUGAGACAGACAUACAUUGUAGAAUGGCUAAAUCAAGCAUUAACAUGUAUAUUGCGUCAGAGACUCUUUUUUGAUUGAGAACAUUUAAAAUCUACUCUUUAAGUACUUUCUGAGUAUACAAUACAUGAUUAUUAUUUUUAAAUGUAUAAGUUUAUUAUCAUUCACUAAACACACACAUACAAAAAUUAAAAUUAUUCAAAGAAAAGCAAUGCAAGGGAAAAAACUAUAAUACUAUUCAAAUAUAAUAGAACUCAACCAAACAAAACUGAAAAGUACUUAAACAUUUUUUCGUAUAAUUUAAAAAAAAAUCUCAAGCAUUAACAAGACAUCAAAGGAUGUGAUUUGUUUUAGAAAGAUUUUCAAAAUUAAUAUUGAACAGACAGUGGUCUGGAAAAAAAAUUCUAAUUAGCUAGUAGACUCUACAUAGGCCAAAUUUUUAAAAUUUCAAUUUCAAUACAGUCAUGUGACAUGUGAUGGAAAUAUAAUCAGAGAAAUAUGUUGUUAGGCAAUUUCAUCCAUGUGUAUCGCAUAGUACCACACAGAGUGCCAUCUUCUAAGUGCAAACUGAGAAGGUCUACGUCAAUCAUCU